rnacentral:rRNA from 1 species
UACGAAGGGUGCGAGCGUUAUUCGGAAUCACUGGGCGUAAAGAGUGCGUAGACGGUCCAUUAAGUUUGUUGUUAAAGACUCUAGCCUAACUGGAGAUUCGCAAUGAAAACUGGUGAGCUGGAGGGUGAGAGAGAGAAGUGGAAUUCCCGGAGUAGCGGUAAAAUGCGUGGAUCUCGGGAGGAACACCAAUGGCGAAGGCAGCUUCUUGGCUCAUUCCUGACGUUGAGGCACGAAAGCGUGGGGAGCAAACAGG